ACUCUAAGAUAUUUAAUGAUUUUUUUAUUAUUAUUAUGAUAUUAGAAAUAACUUUUUUAUUAGUAUAGUUUAUAGAAAUUUUAAUUUUAAAUUUAUAGUAAAUUUUACUGUGAAGUAUUAUUAUUAUUAGAUAAUAUAAGUAGAAGAUAUUUUGUACCUUUUGUAUCAGGGUUUAUUAAUUUGUCUUAAAUAUUUUAUUUUUCCCGAAAUUAUAAGAGAUACUUUUAUAUGUUAUUUGUCGUUUUAAAGACAUUAAUAAUUUAUACAGUAGGGAAUAUAUUUUAUUCAAUUGUAAAUAUCUGGUUUCUUGAGAAGUGAAUUAAAUUUAGAAUUAUUAUUGUUAUUAUGGAAAUUUAAUUUCAUUUAAUAUUAAUAAUUUAAUAUUAUAGGGGAUAAGCUCUGUAAUAUUUUUAUAGUUUGUUUAUUAAUCUAACAAGUUUAGUAGGGUUAGUAAUACCCAUCCUUAUUUUGUUAUAAUUAUACUUGUAGUAUUAUUUUUAUUUAAUUAAAAACUUAAUUAAAUAUCAGGAUUUUUAAUAUAAUAAUGGAUUUGAAGUAAUAAUGAUAGAAUUAGUAAUUUUUGGAUUUUAUAUAUAGUAAUUUGGCAAAUAUUGUUUUCACCUGUUUAUCAAAAACAUGUCCUGUUGUUAUUUAUCUCAGGUUUGGCCUGCUCAAUGAUUUAAUUAUUAAAUAGCCGCGGUAUUUUGACCGUGCAAAGGUAGCAUAAUCAAUUGUCUCUUAAUUAGAGACUUGUAUGAAUGGUUUGAUGAGAAACUAACUUUCUUUAUUAUAAGUCAAUGAAUUUAAUUUUUAGGUUAAAAAGCUUAAAUGUUUCUGUGGGACGAGAAGACCCUAUAGAAAUUUACUAUCCCUGUGACACUUAUUUAUAUUUAUUUAAAAUAAAUGUUAUUAAGGAUAGUUUUGUUGGGGCGACAUGGAGAUUUUACAAACUCUCUACUUUUAAUUUUUAUAAGUGUGUAUAUUAUUGAUCCUUUAUUAAGGAUAUUGAGAUUAAUUUACCUUAGGGAUAACAGCGUAAUUCUUCUGGAGAGUUCUUAUCGAUGGAGGAGAUUGCGACCUCGAUGUUGGAUUAAAAUAAGUUUUAAGUGAAGCAGCUUAAUUUCUAGGUCUGUUCGACCUUUAAUUUUUUACAUGAUCUGAGUUCAGACCGGCGUGAGCCAGGUCGGUUUCUAUCUACAGUAUAGAUAUUAUGUUUUAGUACGAAAGGACCAAAUAUAACAAUAAUUAUUGUUAUGUAAUGAUUUAUAAUAAUUUG
rnacentral:rRNA from 1 species